rnacentral:sRNA from 1 species
CUCCUGAUCUCAGGUGAUGCACUCACCUCAGCCUCUCAGAGUGCUAGGAUUACAGGCGUUUGCCACCACGCCUGGCUAAUUUUUGUAUUUUUAGUAGAGACAGGGUUUCACCAUGUUGACCAGGCUGGUCUGGAACUCCUGACCUCAAGUGAUCUGCCUACCUUGGCCUCCCAAAGUGCUGGGAUUAUAGGCAUGAGCCACCGUGCCUAGCCUGUUUUUGUUUUUCAGGCAAGGUCUCACUUUGUUGUCCAGGCUAGAGUUCAGUGGCGAGAUCUUGGCUUACUGCAACUUCUGCCUCCCGGGCUUGAGUGAUCCUCCCACCUUGGCUUCCCAAGUAGCUAGGACUACAGGUCACCAUGCCUGGCUGAUUUUUGUAUUUUUUUUAAAGAUAGAGUUCCACCACGUUGCCCAGGUCUUGAACUCCUGGGCUGAAGUGAUCCUCCUGUCUCAGCCUCCCAAAGUGCUGGACUUACAGGCAUGAGCUACCACGCCCAGCCGAUUAUUUUCUUUUUCGGCGGGGGGGAUGGAGUCUCGCUCUGUCACUUAGGCUGGAGUACAGUGGCGCGUUCUUGGCUCACUGCAACCUCUGCCUCCCGGGUUCAUGCCAUUCUCCUGCCUCAGCCUCCUGAGUAGCUGGGACUACAGAUCAAACAGAUGAUGGAGGCAGCAACACGACAAAUCGAGGAGAGGAAAAAACAGCUGAGCUUCAUUAGCCCCCCUACACCUCAGCCAAAGACUCCUUCUUCCUCCCAACCAGAGCGACUUCCAAUUGGCAACACUAUUCAGCCCUCCCAGGCUGCCACUUUCAUGAACGAUGCCAUUGAGAAGGCAAGGAAAGCAGCUGAACUACAAGCUCGAAUCCAAGCCCAGCUGGCACUGAAGCCAGGACUCAUCGGCAAUGCCAACAUGGUGGGCCUGGCUAAUCUCCAUGCCAUGGGCAUUGCUCCCCCGAAGGUGGAGUUAAAAGACCAAACAAAACCUACACCACUGAUCCU